GAGCUUGUAGCUCAGUGGACUAGAGCAUGCGGCUACGAACCGCAGUGUCGGGGGUUCGAAUCCCUCCUAGCUCG
rnacentral:tRNA from 1 species